AGGGGUGUGGCUCAGUUGGUAGAGUGUUGCCUACCAUGACCCUGGGUUCAAUCCCCAGCACCUCAU
rnacentral:tRNA from 1 species